ensembl:processed_transcript 4930583K01Rik RIKEN cDNA 4930583K01 gene
GGUCUGUGGCUGCUGAACCUGGAGAGGGGAGGGGCGAAAGUCAAAAGGCGGGACCUGCUCGAGAGGCACUGGAGUUCUGAGAGCCUAGGCUUCAAGGCGAGGUGGUUUCUCGUGUGUGCGGGGCAAGCACUUUAAUGACUGAGCUAUCUCCCUAGCUGCAGGCUCAACUUUAAAAAUAGCCGAGAUACACAUCAAGCAAGUAUUUAAACCUUUUCCACAUAAAGUUUUUAGGCCAUCCAUCGUUUUGCCUCACAAGAGAAGUAUGUAUACAUCACUUAAGUAAUUCAAAAUUGUUACCAAGGACAUGGCUCAGAAAGUAGAAUGCUCAAAGCAGGAGCAAGCACGAAUCACUGGGUUCCAUCCCCAGCACCCCAUAAAUGCAGCAUGACGAUGUGUCUGUAACCCUAGCAUUCAAGAAAUGGAAACCGGAAGUUGUUCAGGCUCACCUUCCGCAAACCUGGCCUACAUGGGACACUGCCUACCCAACCCCCAAGAAAGAAAACUAUCACUAAAGUACUUAAUUAUCAGGCGAUAUCUCCCUAUGAGUAUAUCCCUUACAUUUUUCCACCAUCUGAUCCUGAGUAUGCCCACAAAUCCGUCAAUGAAGGAGGAUCCUGCUAUUCCAAAAGACAAUCAAAUGAUUUUUUUUUCUCUUUCUGCCACCCACAUUGCCCACCAUUGCAGAAGAAGUGGGGGGAAAGUCUUCUGAAAAAUACGAUCUUUGACUCAAGACAGAAAUUCCCACAAGGAAUUGGCCAGACCCAGGCCUGGUCACCAACCUACUGUAAAAAAAAAAAAAAAAAAUCAAUAAUGGAGCUGGAAAGUAGUUCAGUGUUGCAGCAGUUUGGUCACCUACCAUGUUUGAGGCCUCCUGUUCAAUCGCCAGUGCUGUAAAAUAAUAAUCGUUACUUCAAUAAGAUUGCUUCCAUAC